UGACUGAGAUAGCUUACUGCGUGACUGA
rnacentral:piRNA from 1 species